rnacentral:rRNA from 1 species
GUCUAUGGCCAUGCCAGUCUGAACACACUCGAUCCUGUCUGAUCAUGGAAGCUAAGCAGGGUGAGGCCUGGUUAGUACUUCGAUGGGAGGCCACCUAGGAAGACCAGGUGCUGUAAGUG